rnacentral:rRNA from 1 species
AGUGAACGCUGGCGGCAUGCCUAACACAUGCAAGUCGAACGGCAGCACCGUGCUUGCUUGCUCCUACAGGUGGCGACUGGCGGGUGAGUCAUGGGUACAUCGGAAUCCACUUUUUCGUAGGGCUUGACGUCGGGGCACAUACCCUAAUACCGCAUACGUCCUACGGGUGAAAGCAGGGGAUCUUCCGAUCUUGCGUGAUCGAACGACCCGUCGGCGGAUUAGCUAGUUGGGGGGGUACCGGGCCACCAAGGCGUCGCUCGGUAGCUAGUCUGAGAGGAUGGUCGGCCGCAUUGGAGCUGAGACACGGUCCAGACUCCUACGGGAGGCAGCAGUGGGGAAUAUUAGACAAUGGGCGCAAGCCUGAUCCAGCCAUACCACGUGUGAGACGAAGGCCUUGGGUUUGUAAAGCCCUUUUGUUGGGAAAGAAAAGCAGUAGGUUAAUACCCCGCUGUUGUGACGGUACCCAAAGAAUAAGCACCGGCUAACUACGUG